UAUAUUAAGCAAACAUUUUCUAGCUUUUUUUAUUUACAGAUAGCCAGGGACUCAAUCCAACACUCAGACAUCAUUUACAAACAAAGCAUGUGUUUAAUGAGUCUACCAGAUCAGAGGCAGUAGGGAUGACCAGGGAUGUUCUCUGUUUAGUGAGUCUACCAGAUCAGAGGCAGUAGGGAUGACCAGGGAUGUUCUCUGUUUAGUGAGUCUACCAGAUAGGAGGCAGUAGGGAUGACCAGGGAUGUUCUCUGUUUAGUGAGUCUACCAGAUUAGAGGCAGUAGGGAUGACCAGGGAUGUUCUCUGUUUAGUGAGUCUACCAGAUUAGAGGCAGUAGAGAUGACCAGGGAUGUUCUCUGUUUAGUGAGUCUACCAGAUCAGAGGCAGUAGGGAUGACCAGGGAUGUUCUCUGUUUAGUGAGUCUACCAGAUCAGAGACAGUAGGGAUGACCAGGGAUGUUCUCUGUUUAGUGAGUCUACCAGAUCAGAGGCAGUAGGGAUGACCAGGGAUGUUCUCUGUUUAUUGAGUCUACCAGAUCAGAGGCAGUAGGGAUGACCAGGGAUGUUCUCUGUUUAGUGAGUCUACCAGAUCAGAGGCAGUAGGGAUGACCAGGGAUGUUCUCUGUUUAAUGAGUCUACCAGAUCAGAGGCAGUACGGAUGACCAGGGAUGUUCUCUGUUUAGUGAGUCUACCAGAUCAGAGACAGUAGGGAUGACCAGGGAUGUUCUCUGUUUAGUGAGUCUACCAGAUCAGAGGCAGUAGGGAUGACCAGGGAUGUUCUCUGUUUAGUGAGUCUACCAGAUUAGAGGCAGUAGAGAUGACCAGGGAUGUUCUCUUGAUAAGUGUAUGAAUUAGAUCAUUUUCCUGUCCUGCUGAGCAUUCUAAAUGUAACGAGUACUUUUGGGUGUCAGGGAAAAUGUAUGGAGUAAAAAGUACAUUUUCUUUAGGAAUGUAAAAGUUGUCAAAAAUAGAAAUAGUAAAGUACAGUACAGAUACCCCACAAAAGCAGGUAGUAGGCUAGAUGCUGCUCACUGAUAAAUACCUGAAGUAAAUAUGUUCAUUAUUUCCCCAUUAAUAACCACCGGUGGAUCCUUCCUCUCCGCAGUUUAACGACUUGCUCUUUAAAAGAGAGAGAGUGCCUGGGUCACGGAGAGUGGGAGGGGGGAGAGUGGAUAGGAGGGAGAGGGAAGGGAGUGUAGAG
rnacentral:lncRNA from 1 species